GGGGUUAUAGCUCAGUUGGUAGAGUGCUUGCUUCACGUACAUAAGGCCCUGGAUUCAAUUCCCAGUGCCCCCC
rfam:Ictidomys tridecemlineatus contig028889, whole genome shotgun sequence.